GCAUAUCAAUAAGCGGAGGAAAAGAAACCCAACAGGGAUUGCCUCAGUAACGGCGAGUGAAGCGGCAACAGCUCAAAUUUGAAAUCUGGAGCCCUCGGCUUCCGAGUUGUAAUUUGAAGAGGAUGUUUCGGUUGUGGCCUGGGCCUAAGUUCCUUGGAACAGGACGUCAUGGAGGGUGAGAAUCCCGUACAUGGCUGCAGGCUUACUUCCAUGUGAAACUCCUUCGAAGAGUCGAGUUGUUUGGGAAUGCAGCUCAAAAUGGGUGGUAAAUUUCAUCUAAAGCUAAAUAUUGGCGGGAGACCGAUAGCGCACAAGUAGAGUGAUCGAAAGAUGAAAAGCACUUUGAAAAGAGAGUUAAACAGCACGUGAAAUUGUUGAAAGGGAAGCGCUUGCGAUCAGACUCGCUCUCGGUUGAUCAACGUUCCUUCUGGUGCGUGCACUCUGCCGUUGGCGGGCCAGCAUCGGUUGGGGCGGCGGGACAAAGGCAGCGGGAAUGUGGCUCCUCUCGGGGAGUGUUAUAGCCCGUUGUGUAAUGCCGCCAGCCCCGACCGAGGUCCGCGGUUCUGCCUAGGAUGCUGGCUUAAUGGUCGUAAGCGACCCGUCUUGAAACACGGACCAAGGAGUCUAACAUCUAUGCGAGUCUUUGGGUGUCAAACCCAUGGGCGGAAUGAAAGUGAACGGAGGUGGGAGUCCUCGGAUGCACCAUCGACCGAUCCUGAUGUUCUCGGAUGGAUUUGAGUAUGAGCAUAGCUGUUGGGACCCGAAAGAUGGUGAACUAUGCCUGAAUAGGGUGAAGCCAGAGGAAACUCUGGUGGAGGCUCGCAGCGGUUCUGACGUGCAAAUCGAUCGUCAAAUUUGGGUAUAGGGGGCGAAAGACUAAUCGAACCAUCUAGUAGCUGGCUCCUGCCGAG
rnacentral:rRNA from 1 species